rnacentral:rRNA from 1 species
CCUACGGGUGGCAGCAGUGGGGAAUAUUGGACAAUGGGGGGAACCCUGAUCCAGCCAUGCCGCGUGUGUGAAGAAGGCCCUCGGGUUGUAAAGCACUUUCAGUGAGGAAGAACGCCUGGUGGUUAAUACCCAUCAGGAAAGACAUCACUCACAGAAGAAGCACCGGCUAACUCCGUGCCAGCAGCCGCGGUAAUACGGAGGGUGCGAGCGUUAAUCGGAAUUACUGGGCGUAAAGCGCGCGUAGGUGGCUUGAUAAGCCGGUUGUGAAAGCCCCGGGCUCAACCUGGGAACGGCAUCCGGAACUGUCAAGCUAGAGUGCAGGAGAGGAAGGUAGAAUUCCCGGUGUAGCGGUGAAAUGCGUAGAGAUCGGGAGGAAUACCAGUGGCGAAGGCGGCCUUCUGGACUGACACUGACACUGAGGUGCGAAAGCGUGGGUAGCAAACAGGAAUAGAUACCCUUGUAGUC